rnacentral:rRNA from 1 species
AAUCAACGCUGGCGGCGUGCCUCAGACAUGCAAGUCGAACGCGAAAGUUUCCUUCGGGAACAAGUAGAGUGGCGCACGGGUGAGUAACACGUAGGUAAUCUACCUUUGGAUGGGGAAUAACAACCGGAAACGGUUGCUAAUACCGCAUAAUGCAGCGGCACCUAAUGGUGACAGUUGUUAAAGCGGGGGGAUCGAAAGACCCUCGCGUC